rnacentral:rRNA from 1 species
CACCCUACGGGGGGCAGCAGUGGGGGAUAUUGGACAAUGGGGGGAACCCUGAUCCAGCGAUGCCGCGUGCAGGAUGACGGCUCUAUGAGUUGUAAACUGCUUUUGUACGAGGGUAAACCCCGAUACGUGUAUCGGGUUGAAAGUAUCGUACGAAUAAGGAUCGGCUAACUCCGUGCCAGCAGCCGCGGUAAUACGGAGGAUCCGAGCGUUAUCCGGAUUUAUUGGGUUUAAAGGGUGCGUAGGCGGUUUGAUAAGUUAGAGGUGAAAUGUCGGGGCUCAACCCCGAAACUGCCUCUAAUACUGUU